UACGUAGGGGCCUAGCGUUGUCCGGAUUUAUUGGGCGUAAAGAGCUCGUAGGCGGUUCGGUAAGUCAGGUGUGAAAUCUCCACGCUCAACGUGGAGGCGCCACCUGAAACUGCCGUGACUCGAGUCCGGUAGGGGAGUGUGGAAUUCCUGGUGUAGCGGUGAAAUGCGCAGAUAUCAGGAGGAACACCGGUGGCGAAGGCGGUUCUCUGGGCCUUACCUGACACUGAGGAGCGAAAGCGUGGGGAGCGAACAGG
rnacentral:rRNA from 1 species